rnacentral:rRNA from 1 species
UACGUAGGGUGCAAGCGUUGUCCGGAAUUAUUGGGCGUAAAGAGCUCGUAGGCGGUUUGUCGCGUCGAAUGUGAAAACCCGGGGCUCAACCCCGGGCCUGCAUUCGAUACGGGCAGACUAGAGUUCGGUAGGGGAGUCUGGAAUUCCUGGUGUAGCGGUGAAAUGCGCAGAUAUCAGGAGGAACACCGGUGGCGAAGGCGGGACUCUGGGCCGAUACUGAC